rnacentral:lncRNA from 1 species
CAAUGCCAAGAGCUGGGCACUCCUUGGGAGAAAGCUGGGUUCCCUGAGUCAAGGGCCAGAAGUGGGCACCGCCACUGAGAGGGCUUCCUGAGGCAGAGUGAAAGGCAGAGGGCAGAGGUGGCUGAGGAGACAGAAGGAAAGGCCUCUCGGGGCACUGCCCCUCCCUCCAUGCACAUGUCACAUCAUCCUGCCUGGUCCUUCCUUGAAGAACUGGGGGUCACACAAGAAGGCUGUGAUUCCUCAGACAAGGACUUGACUAAGACAGGCACAGGUGCACAGGGGCCAUCAGGAGAGAAGGUGGUGAUCAUAAGAGGGGGCCAUAGGCCUGCACCCCAUGGUGAGCUGGGACCUGACCCUUUACUCCUUCUGGGGAAGGCCUCCUGCCCCCGUGGCUCCUCCAUUUCCCAUUCCCAGCUCAGACUGAGCUCACACAAGUGGCAAAGUGUCAACCAGCAUCCAGUGGGUCCCCGGCCCAACAAGUGCAUGUUUUCCACUCCUACCUCGGGUCCAGGGCCAGCCAGGGCAGAUGAAGGAAAGGGCUGCAGCAGGGGAGCCAUCACCCCUUUCUUCUCUCUUCUUCCCUGAUCCCCACCACCAGGGCAGAGCUUCUUUCUAUUCCCUUUGCUUUGCUUUCUCUCUCUCCUUUGUCUCUACUCCCCUGUGUCUCUCUCAUCUCUCUCUCCUACCUUCACUCCCUCUCUGUUCUCAUCCCCUCCCCUACCCUCCCUGCCUCCUGAGCCUGGCCUCACUCACUUCCUUGCCUCAGCAUCAUGGGCCAUCCCUGGAGGUGUCCUGGUCCCGGCAGAAUGCUGGACACCCAGUGAGUGCCAUCAAGGAAUAUUUCCCCAAGCUGUUACGCCUGGUAAGUGCCUACAUUUGUGAUUGUCUCUCACUCACAUUGAUGGCCUCCACAUCUGCCCCCAAGCCCUUUGGGGCUCGCCUAGGUUAUAUGUUUGCAUGAGACCUUUAUCCAUUUUAAGGGACAGGGACUCCUGAGAAAGACAUGGAUAUAUUUGGUGGGAAAACGCCCAUGCUAACGCCCACACACACAAAAGUUGCGUUUAAUAGUAGAGACUUCCAAGACCUCAUGAUGAAGACGCCCACUGUAGUCUUGCCCAUGGAUUUU